GUACUAUUACUCAAAAACUGAUUCUCUUGAAUCAGCAGAUUCGAGUGUUUAUAGCGCCGUCAAGAAGCUGUGUUUUGUGUGUUGAUCGUCUCCACCAUGCACGCGGUAUUCAAGACCAGCAACGUCUUGAUCAAGAAGAAGAAAAGAACGGAGAAGCAAAGAACGACGAUGUAACUACUAAAUAGCGGGUUUUCCACACUGGUACGCUGUAUGACGUCGAGCAAUGCCAAUAAUGGAAGUGCUCUUUGAAGAACUGAGCGUCUAGAUCUUCUUCAGUCAGAUGAAGCUAACGGAUUCGGAAAUCGUCGAAGAAGCAGAGGACAUCACAGCUGAAAACAAACGUGAGUCAAACUCCUGUGGUUAAGUUUUGCAGCUACUCUCAAAAUAUUUUGUCUUGUUUGCUCGUGUUGAUUGA